rnacentral:rRNA from 1 species
CAGCCGCCGCGUGAAUACGUAGGUGGCAAGCGUUGUCCGGAUUUAUUGGGCGUAAAGCGAGCGCAGGCGGUUCCUUAAGUCUGAUGUGAAAGCCCCCGGCUCAACCGGGGAGGGUCAUUGGAAACUGGGGAACUUGAGUGCAGAAGAGGAGAGUGGAAUUCCAUGUGUAGCGGUGAAAUGCGUAGAUAUAUGGAGGAACACCAGUGGCGAAGGCGACUCUCUGGUCUGUAACUGACGCUGAGGCUCGAAAGCGUGGGUAGCAAACAGGAUUAGAUACCCCGGUAGUCCCUGUCUCUUAUAC